AUGUAGGUGUUUUGCAUUGGAACUUCCUUAUUUGUUUUUAGUAACAAAAUGUCUGUAUUUAACGUUAACAUUUCAAUGGCGCAUAAUGACUCUAAACAAACCUCACAGCAAUGAAUGGAGUAAAGAAAAGGGAGCAACUUAAAUCCUGGGCUCCAAUAUGGCUGCUUGGUACCAGUCUUCCAGAGCAAAGCAGCCCCAAAAGUCAGCUACCUGAGGAUUCUCCAGGCACAGAGGACUUUCCUAGGUAAUGUAGAAGUGGAUAGCUGAUUCUUUGCCACCUUCUCUUGGCUUCCCCAAAUUGAACAGCUGAGCAGCUGUUAAAAUGAUGCCUUGGGGGUUACUAUAGCUGAGCAUAAUUUAUGGAAACUCUAACACUGCUCUGACUUGCAUUUGGGACCAAACUGGCCCUGAUAUCAGGAAAAACAUAGUCACUUUUGACUCUUCUUACUUUCAUAUCCUGCACUGGCACUGGGCGGAAUAUGGCCACAUCUGAGGAACUAACCCAAUUUUGGUUGUGUGGUGGUUUUUUUUUUUUUUUUUGAGUUUAAACUAGAGGGAGAUUCUUCGCCCCGCACCCUACUCCAAGA